ensembl:lncRNA
CUUAGAUCUCUACCUCAAAUCUCUGCCUCCAUUCCUACUGGUGGGAGUUCCAGCCAUCCUUUCCAGCCUGAACCGUUGCAGCAGCCUCCUAAAGUCUCCUGCAGACAAACUCAGCCUCCAUUCAGCCUCCAGAGCGAACUCUCUAAAAUGCGCUUCUCUUUAAAAUCCUGCAGAGGUUCCCCUGGCUUCUGGCCGCAGUGCGGACCUACAAGGUAUCCAAUACAAACCUCGCAGUGCCCUCAAGCUUUUAAAAGACCACAAAGAGCCCCAGACUUCAAGAAGCAGCCAAAAUCCUCAAAGUAAGGCAACACACAGCCAGGCAAGGGAACGCUAUAGGAAGAAAAACAGUGAUUGAAAUAUUUCUAAAAAUUCCCUGCUACAGAUGUUUUGGGUAUGGAAAGAAGAGAAUGUGGACACGGGGGGGAGGAGAUGCUGAGUCACUGGGAAAGGCUUGAGCAUGUUUAUAGGCUGAGGAAAAAACAGAGCCAGGAAAGGAGGAGAAGCCCAAGACAGAGAGAAAGACAGUGAAGCGAGUCUUGAGAAGUCCUGGGAGGCUUGCUGAUCUCCGCCCAGGAUGAUUCUGGGCCUGGGCCCAGCCCUUCCCUCCUUUGAUCCUACUCCCUUUUUAAGACCCAAGCCAUGAUCACAACCCAAGACAGAUGAAACUGAGGAAAACGUAAAGUCCCAUUUUACAGAAUAGAAAAAGAUGUUUAAUAGCUCACUCAAGGUCGCAGAGCUGGUAAACAGCAGCACAGCCAGGAUUCAACCCAGGCAACUUGGCUCCAGGGCCAAACUCUUCAUCAGUAUGACUGAACAAAGCCAUAGUGACCCAUCCUCUGGGAUCCAAAGUCUUUGGAUUAUCUGUUUAAACACCCAGACUCUGACUGCCUCAUGAGCAAGGACCUAACUAAGCCAUCUCUGGAUCCUCAGCUCCUGGCCGAGACCCAGCCCAUGAUGGUGCUCAGUAAUGUGUGCCGAGUAAGUGAGUAACAAAUUAUCAUCAAUUUUCACAACCACUAAGUCAGACUAGCAAUGGAAUGGUUAGGAUUCCCAUCUUACAGGGACGAAAAAUGAGUUCCACAACUUCCCAAGAGGAGGUGAUUCGUCUCACUGCCCCUUUGACUGACUUCAGCCCUCUUUUAUGUUUUCUCUGCUGCUUCCAUGAAAGGUUAGAGGACACGUGUUUACCUUAGGAAGACUUCACCUUAAGAGAGGCUAAAAAAAAUGCCACAGUACUCCCUGUCUUUUCUGGAAAAGGUGGCCAGUGAAAGUAUUUUGAUUAUAAUGUUUGCUUAACAAGCUCUGUUUCCUUUAGCUCCUAUGCCAUUCUGUCCCUGUUUAGCUUGAACCACAGAGGCCUGUGUGUGUGUGUGUGUGUGUGUAUUUUGGAACAGAACAGGGAGCAGAGCUGUGAGUCAGAUGUCUAGAAAUCAGAGUCCAGCGGCCACCACUGAUUCAUUUCUGUUGCUAAGCAAAAUAUGUAAUCUUUUUUUUGCCUCUGCCACGAAACAACAGCCAGGGGCCCCACAUUCUUCUCAGGCCAUGGUGCCAUAGGAUAUGUUGGGUCACACGCUGCUGAGUGUUCAGGGCGUAGGGCCCCUGCUGGAGGAGUGCUAGAAAUCGGUCCUACAAAAGGAGGGAACUCCUGAUUUGUAGCACCUGCCAAUUUCGUGAUGUAAAUACCCCACCACGGCUAAUUUCAAGCUACCAACAGUUUAGGUGGCUCACAAAAUUCUUAGCAGAAACGAAAUAACUUAGCAGUCUGCUUUAAGGAGCCAACAGAAACCAGCUCCAGCACACUGCCACUUAUAGUAACUCCUCAUGUGGACAAGAACAGGAGAAAUACAAGCAGCCUUUAGAUGAUGGUUUUAGGGGCAAGGCCUGCCUCAUAGGAUGUUACAGGGAAUUUCCUUGUAUUUACAUAUAAUGAUUUCACCUCUGAUGAGAAAAGACUAAUUGUAUUGGAGAUGGGAAAACUAGGUAUAAUUCUUAGCAUUCUUAGAAGUAACAUGUUUAUUUCUUUGAAUUUCAAUUUUAAUAGGAAGACUAUUACCGACCUCACAGGAUGGCGGAUUAUCUAAUAAACACAUAUAGCACUUACUGUCUGCUAGGAACUGUUUAAAUACUUUACAAAUUUACAUACUUAACCUUUAUAACAACACUGUAGAGUAAGUACUGUUAUCAGUUUAGAGAUGAAAAGACCAAAGCACAGAGAAGUUAACUAAGUUCUCUAAGGCCACACAGCUAGCAAGUAAUAGAGCCAGGAUUUGAACCUGGCUCCAGAGUCCAUGCAUGCUUUUAACCUCUAGGGCCCCAAGUCAAAGGCACCUGCCUGGUUUAAUAAAUAGAGUUUUAUUGGAACACAGCCAUGCUCGUUCAUUUACAUGUUGUCUGUGGCUGCUUUUGUGUUAGAGUGGCAGAGUUGAGUAGUUGUGGCAGAGACCAUAUGACCCAAAAAGCCCAAAAUAUUUACUAUCUGGUUGUUUACAGAAAACAUUGGCUGCUCCCUACUCUAUGGUGUCCUGCCUAUUUGUAUAGGCUGACACAAUGGUUAUUAUUAGGAGCCUGGUGGUCCCAAAGGUCAAGCUGGUUCUGAAAUUGUGUUCUAGGCCAAUAAGACAAGUGAAAAGUAAUGUCAAGAUUAUAACCGUACCCUAGCAUUUGUACUAUAACAAUUGUGUCAGUGAAAUAGCAUUAGGAUGUAAACUUGAGUAACAAAUAAUCCAUGAAAAUGAGUAUUAAUAGAAAUAUGUGCUUUAUGGGAUCCUGAUAUCUCAGGGUUGAAUUAAUUCAGAGAUUGUUCAUCCCAACCCCAACUCUCCACUGGGGGUUGUUAGACUGGAUUUCUGAAGUUGAUGCUGUAAAUCGCUCACCAUCAG